rnacentral:SRP_RNA from 1 species
UUCUCGGUUCCUCGCAACGAGGUCUGGUUUACUCGGUCAGGUUCGGAAGAAAGCAGCCAAAGUCAGAUUUUUCGUGUGCCGAGAUCAAGCUGGGAAGGU